AGAGUUUGAUCCUGGCUCAGAAUCAACGCUGGCGGCGUGCCUAACACAUGCAAGUCGAACGCGAAAGGGGCUUCGGCCCUGAGUAGAGUGGCGAACGGGUGAGUAACACGUGGGUGAUCUACCUCUGAGUGGGGGAUAACGUUCCGAAAGGAGCGCUAAUACCGCAUGACGUCCUGGGUUUUAAGACCUGGAAACCAAAGUCGGGGACCGCAAGGCCUGACGCUUGGAGAGGAGCCCGCGCCUGAUUAGCUAGUUGGUGGGGUAAUGGCCUACCAAGGCGACGAUCAGUAGCCGGCCUGAGAGGGCGGACGGCCACACUGGGACUGAGACACGGCCCAGACUCCUACGGGAGGCAGCAGUGGGGAAUUGUUCGCAAUGGGCGCAAGCCUGACGACGCAACGCCGCGUGGAGGAUGAAGGUCUUCGGAUUGUAAACUCCUGUUGAUCGGGAAGAAUGGACUCCGGGUUAAUACUCCGGGGUAGUGACGGUACCGAUUGAGGAAGCCACGGCUAACUCUGUGCCAGCAGCCGCGGUAAUACAGAGGUGGCAAGCGUUGUUCGGAAUUACUGGGCGUAAAGGGCGGCGUAGGGCGGGUCGCCUAAGUCGGACGUGAAAUCCCCCAAGCUUAACUUGGGAACUGCGUCCGAUACUGGGUGACUUGAGUUCGGGAGAGGAAUGUGGAAUUCCAGGUGUAGCGGUGAAAUGCGUAGAUAUCUGGAGGAACACCGGUGGCGAAGGCGGCAUUCUGGACCGAAACUGACGCUGAGGCGCGAAAGCCAGGGGAGCAAACGGGAUUAGAU
rnacentral:rRNA from 1 species